rnacentral:rRNA from 1 species
CGAAGGAUCCAAGCGUUGUCCGGAUUUACUGGGUUUAAAGGGUGCGUAGGCGGACUUUUAAGUCAGUGGUGAAAGCCUGUAGCUUAACUAUAGAAUUGCCAUUGAAACUGAAAGUCUCGAGUGUGGUUGAGGUAACUGGAAUAUAUCAUGUAGCGGUGAAAUGCUUAGAUAUGAUAUAGAACACCAAUUGCGAAGGCAGGUUACUGAGCCAUUACUGACGCUGAGGUACGAAAGCGUGGGGAUCAAACAGGAUUAGAUACCCUGGUAGUCCACGCCGUAAACGUUGCAUACUCGAUCUUAGCGAUACACAGUUAGGAUCCAAGCGAAAGCGUUAAGUAUGCCACCUGGGAAGUACGAUCGCAAGAUUG